AGUAUAACUUAAAAAUCUUAGCGUGUCAAAAGGAUUUGGAAGCCCAAAGGAAUGAGUCUACUAAUCAAAAUAUGUUGAACUACAAGAAUAACGAAGUAAUCAAGGAGUUGCAAUUGAAGAUGGAACUAAACCAAAGAAAAUUAAAUUAUUGGCGAAAAAACUGUAUAAAAGUUAGCAAACAGCUAAAGAAUGUGGAGCAGAAUCUGAU